AUUGAACGCUAGCGGCAUGCUUAACACAUGCAAGUCGAACGGCAGCGCGGGUAGCUUGCUACCUGGCGGCGAGUGGCGGACGGGUGAGUAAUGCGUAGGAAUCUACCUUAUAGCGGGGGAUAACUCGGGGAAACUCGGGCUAAUACCGCAUAAUCACUAAGGAGCAAAGCGGGGGACCUUCGGGCCUCGUUCUGUAAGAUGAGCCUAAGUCGGAUUAGCUAGGUGGUGGGGUAAUGGCCUACCAAGGCGACGAUCCGUAGCUGGUCUGAGAGGACGAUCAGCCACACUGGGACUGAGACACGGCCCAGACUCCUACGGGAGGCAGCAGUGGGGAAUAUUGGACAAUGGGGGAAACCCUGAUCCAGCAAUGCCGCGUGUGUGAAGAAGGCCUUCGGGUUGUAAAGCACUUUCAGUGGGGAAGAAAGAACCAAAAUUAAUACUUUUGGGUGUUGACGUUACCCACAGAAGAAGCACUGGCUAACUCUGUGCCAGCCGCCGCCGUAA
rnacentral:rRNA from 1 species